GUGGGGAUGUAGCUCAGUGGUAGAGCACUUGCUUAUUAACAUGUACAAGGCUCUGGGUUCAAUCCCCAAGUACCACA
rnacentral:tRNA from 1 species